rnacentral:rRNA from 1 species
UGGGAGCUUGCUCCCUGAUGUCAGCGGCGGACGGGUGAGUAACACGUGGGUAACCUGCCUGUAAGACUGGGAUAACUCCGGGAAACCGGGGCUAAUACCGGAUGCUUGAUUGAACCGCAUGGUUCAAUUAUAAAAGGUGGCUUUUAGCUACCACUUACAGAUGGACCCGCGGCGCAUUAGCUAGUUGGUGAGGUAACGGCUCACCAAGGCAACGAUGCGUAGCCGACCUGAGAGGGUGAUCGGCCACACUGGGACUGAGACACGGCCCAGACUCCUACGGGAGGCAGCAGUAGGGAAUCUUCCGCAAUGGACGAAAGUCUGACGGAGCAACGCCGCGUGAGUGAUGAAGGUUUUCGGAUCGUAAAACUCUGUUGUUAGGGAAGAACAAGUACCGUUCGAAUAGGGCGGUACCUUGACGGUACCUAACCAGAAAGCCACGGCUAACUACGUGCCAGCAGCCGCGGUAAUACGUAGGUGGCAAGCGUUGUCCGGAAUUAUUGGGCGUAAAGCGCGCGCAGGCGGUUUCUUAAGUCUGAUGUGAAAGCCCCCGGCUCACCCGGGGAGGGUCAUUGGAAACUGGGGAACUUGAGUGCAGAAGAGGAGAGUGGAAUUCCACGUGUAGCGGUGAAAUGCGUAGAGAUGUGGAGGAACACCAGUGGCGAAGGCGACCCUCUGGUCUGUAACUGACGCUAAGGCGCGAAAGCGUGGGGAGCGAACGGGAUUAGAUACCCCUGGAAGUCCACGCCGAAAACGAUGAGUGCUAAGUGUUAAAGGGUUUCCCCCCCUUUAGUGCUGCAGCCAAACGCUUUUAAGCACUCCCCCCUGGGGGAGUACGGGUCGCAAAGACUGA